rnacentral:rRNA from 1 species
ACGCUGGCGGCGUGCCUAAUACAUGCAAGUAGAACGCUGAUGAGAGGAGCUUGCUCUUCUUGGAUGAGUUGCGAACGGGUGAGUAACGCGUAGGUAACCUGCCUUGUAGCGGGGGAUAACUAUUGGAAACGAUAGCUAAUACCGCAUAACAAUGGAUGACUCAUGUCAUUUAUUUGAAAGGGGCAAUUGCUCCACUACAAGAUGGACCUGCGUUGUAUUAGCUAGUAGGUGAGGUAACGGCUCACCUAGGCGACGAUACAUAGCCGACCUGAGAGGGUGAUCGGCCACACUGGGACUGAGACACGGCCCAGACUCCUACGGGAGGCAGCAGUAGGGAAUCUUCGGCAAUGGGGGCAACCCUGACCGAGCAACGCCGCGUGAGUGAAGAAGGUUUUCGGAUCGUAAAGCUCUGUUGUAAGUCAAGAACGAGUGUGAGAGUGGAAAGUUCACACUGUGACGGUAGCUUACCAGAAAGGGACGGCUAACUACGUGCCAGCAGCCGCGGUAAUACGUAGGUCCCGAGCGUUGUCCGGAUUUAUUGGGCGUAAAGCGAGCGCAGGCGGUUUGAUAAGUCUGAAGUUAAAGGCUGUGGCUCAACCAUAGUUCGCUUUGGAAACUGUCAAACUUGAGUGCAGAAGGGGAGAGUGGAAUUCCAUGUGUAGCGGUGAAAUGCGUAGAUAUAUGGAGGAACACCGGUGGCGAAAGCGGCUCUCUGGUCUGUAACUGACGCUGAGGCUCGAAAGCGUGGGGAGCGAACAGGAUUAGAUACCCUGGUAGUCCACGCCGUAAACGAUGAGUGCUAGGUGUUGGAUCCUUUCCGGGAUUCAGUGCCGCAGCUAACGCAUUAAGCACUCCGCCUGGGGAGUACGACCGCAAGGUUGAAACUCAAAGGAAUUGACGGGGGCCCGCA